GACGAACGCUGGCGGCGUGCUUAACACAUGCCAGUCGAACGGAAAGGCCCUGCUUUUGUGGGGUGCUCGAGUGGCGAACGGGUGAGUAACACGUGAGUAACCUGCCCUUGACUUUGGGAUAACUUCAGGAAACUGGGGCUAAUACCGGAUAGGAGCUCCUGCUGCAUGGUGGGGGUUGGAACGUUUCGGCGGUUGGGGAUGGACUCGCGGCUUAUCAGCUUGUUGGUGGGGUAGUGGCUUACCAAGGCGUUGACGGGUAGCCGGCCUGAGAGGGUGACCGGCCACAGUGGACGUGAGCCACGGGCCAGGCUCCUAGGGGAGGCAGCAGGGGGGGAGAGUGGACAAUGGGCGCGAGCCUGGUACAGCCAGAGCGCGUGGGUGAAGAAGGCCUCCGGGGUGUAAAGCCGUUUUGUGGGGAAAGAAAAGCAGCAGGUUAAUACCCAGCUGUUCUGACGGUAACAAAAGAAUAAGCACCGGCUAACUUCGUG
rnacentral:rRNA from 1 species